rnacentral:rRNA from 1 species
UACAGAGGGUGCAAGCGUUGUUCGGAUUUACUGGGCGUAAAGGGCGCGUAGGCGGCGCAACAAGUCACUUGUGAAAUCUCCGGGCUUAACCCGGAGCGGCCAAGUGAUACUGUCGUGCUAGAGUGCGGAAGGGGCUACUGGAAUUCUCGGUGUAGCGGUGAAAUGCGUAGAUAUCGAGAGGAACACCUGCGGCGAAGGCGGGUAGCUGGGCCGACACUGACGCUGAGGCGCGAAAGCCAGGGGAGCGAACGGG